GUUGGCCCGCCUGGAGGUCCCUUUGGACAGCCCUGUGGGCCACCCCCCCUCUGCGUGACCCAGCUGUGAGAGCUCCUGCCCAUGGGCCCCUUCCCCCCUCCCCUGUUGUGUCAUUCUGUCAAGCAAAGCUUCCUCACCAACAGGAAGGAAUAGGAGGAAUCGCCACACCAGAUGCAGUUUGGGUUCUGCUUUUCCCACAAGGGCUGUGAGCCCCACACCACAUUCAACUGGCGUGGACUGUGAUGUUCCCGGCAUGGUGACAUCCCUGCAGAGAAAUCCACUGAAGUUCACUGAAGUGCAGAACUGCAGCAGCUCAGGAAGGGUGGGAGCAAGGAGAUCUCUGCCCAAAGUCUUGGCAGGGUCUGAUGAACAAAGGGGACAGAGGAAAGCAGUGCUGCCUGCCUCUGUUCUCACCAGUUCAGGCUCCUUCCUGGGCCACAAAGCUUAGUUUGGCCACAUUUACUACUUUCCUCUAUGUGUGGGGAAACUCUGGACCCAAAUUUAUCUAGCUGAUCCAAGCAGGGUCUGUCUGCAACCUGCAUCAGAACAGGUGGAGACCAGCCAGGUGUCUGUGGAGGAGCACUGUUCCUGUUCCCUGGAACAGUCCCUGUUCCCUGGCCGCUCCAUGGCCAGCCAGAACAGGCAAGUAUGGCAAAUGUCUGAGCACUCAUGAUCAUUUUAACCAUGGACACUAACAUCAGAUAGAGAAGCUGGACACCUGGACAGCGAAAAAGGAGAAAUGUCACAAAUUGGCAAAGACACAUCCCUGAACUACCAAAAGCCAUGUGCUCUCAGUGGGAACAGCAAAGCAAAGGAGUCCAGCAGGAUCUAGCAAGACCUACUUCAGAGGAGAAGGAAGUGGUUCUCAGGGCAGGUGUGAUAAGAGUCUACACCUGCAAUGAGACCACUUCUGAGAUUUCCAGGUUAAAAAAUCCAAACUGAAAACUGUAUUUUCAACCUUUUUUUUUUCUCCCUGUUGCAGUACUUUUAACAAGCCACUCUGCUUCCACAGAUUCCCAUCACACAGUCCACAGGCUCUGUCAGAAAAGCACUAGCACCUACUGCUGUACAGUGAUGGGGACACUCUGCUUUAAACUAUCCUUUGUGCUCUCUGGGUCCUGCGAUGCUCGUGGCACUGGGCUGAGACUGAUGUCAAAGAAGCAGUCAGAUUUGUGUAGCAACAGCAGUUCCCGCAGCUGGAGGAGGAGGAAGACAGAAGGGAAAAGCACUUGGGCCAUGUUGUGUCUUCCUCCGAAGCCCAAAAGCACCUGGCGCUAUGUGGACACCUUGGCCAGAGCAGUUAGUCUUUCAAUCACAAAACCUGAUGGGCAGCAACCCUCUGUGGCUCUGUGACCUCUGAGCAGAAUUUCAAGGAUUAUCCCAGGAAACCUACCUGAACCAGGGGGAAUUUAUGCACCCACAAUGAAACACUGUAAUAUUUGACAUUAAGAAUUCCAGCAUACAUAGA